rnacentral:tRNA from 1 species
CAGGGAGACAACAAAAUGUUAAAUAUUAAUUUUGUCACCUUAGGUCGAUCGGUAUCUCACAUUCUUGAUUAUUUAAGGAUUUUAUUUCCUAAGUUUUUUCUAGGUCACACCCAUUACUUUUCCUGGGCCAUUAGCUCAGGUGGUUAGAGCGCACCCCUGAUAAGGGUGAGGUCCCUGGUUCAAGUCCAGGAUGGCCCAUAUCUCUAUGUUGGGGGUAUAGCUCAGUUGGUAGAGCGCCUGCUUUGCAAGCAGGAUGUCAGCGGUUCGAGUCCGCUUACCUCCACUGAUCACCACCUCUUCAUAAUUUAUAGAAGGGAAUUGUUUUGAGUUAUGAUCAAAUUCUGAACGAAUCUAGCUUCCUAAUUGAAUCUAUUAAGAUGCUGGACUCAUUGAAUUAAUUUCAUUGUUUUCAGAGAACCUUGACAACUGCAUAGAUUAUUUUAAAGACAAUAAGCAUCUUUAAUGAUGCAGAUUUAUUAUUUGUGCGAAUGCAUUAAAUAACAAUCCUAUUAAGCUGAUGCUUCAA